CACUCGCAAAACGAAAAAACAUUUUUGUCAAAAAUGUGUUGGAAAAGAUAUACAAAAACGCAAAUCCCAAUCAUAUUCAUAAGCAAAAUAAGAAACCAAAAAUGUUCUGCAAUGUCCUUUGUGCAUCGGUAUAAACAAUUGCAAGUGUUAUGUGUUGUGGCUGUAGGUACAACGUAUUUUGUGCCACCGGUUGCAUUGUGCUGAUCUCUUCAGCGAUAUUAUUCUUAAUCUGUUUUGCAGAGUUUAUCUACCACAAAAGCCCAGAUGCCGACGAGGAACAUUCGGUUGCAAAAGAAUUGAUAAACUUUAUUUUAAGACCUUUUAAUAGUUGAUAACUUAAGUAUACCUUUGGGAGAAUAAUUGACUUAAAUAAAUAUGUGUGCUCAAUAUACUGCUUCACAACAAAAAAGAUGCAUUGGAACAUUUGUUAAAUACAAACUGUUCCGAAAAA